CUCUUGGCCACAGAGAUAGUCUAAUCAGAAAACUACUGUUCAAGAUUAGCAUGGCCCCUGCACAAGGAUGACCCCAAAAUUUGUGAAGUGUUCCAUUUUUUU
rfam:Otolemur garnettii contig103047, whole genome shotgun sequence.